AUGUCCUCUGUCAAUAGAGCAGACUACGUAACUGGCUCCAAAGAAGCAGAUUUAGGGGGUGCAAAGAGUCUGGCCCAUGGAGUCCUAUGUUGGGAGAGGCUUCUGGAACUGCGACAUGAAGAUGGAGGGCUCCACUCUGCCUUCGUGGCCUCUGUAACAACUAGAGGCAACUAUCCAUGGCUGUUUCCGCAGCCAUCAUAUGGUACCCACUUCACCAGUUGUUGUGACCUUGACAUUAGCUCAGUGGCAUGUAUGAACCAACCCUCAUGGAAGGAAUAUUAAACCACUAGAGAAUGCUGAAGUGGAAGGACCUGGACAGCCAGAGAAACAUUUCAAGGUCAUCUGGGGCCUUCAAGGUUUUAAGACAGGUAAGAAGGCAGGAAAGGGAUAUAAAAUGUAAGUGUGUGUGUGUGAGUGUGUGUGUGUGUGUGUGUGUGUGUGUGUGUGUGUGUGCGCGCGCGCAUCAGGGGGAAAUAUUCACAAUUCUGGUGGAGUCUUAACUCUUACUUUUUUUUUUUUAAACUCUUUAAAAUUGAAGAUAAUGUGCAGAGUGUGAAUCUGAAAGUCUCAACGUUGGUGUGCCUGGGUGGCUCAGUCGGUUAAGCAUCCGACUUUUAAUUUCAGUUCAGGUCAUGAUCUUGCAGUUCAUGGGUUCAAGCUCAUCGUUGGGCUCUGUGGUGGCAGAGUAUCUGCUUGGGAUUCUCUAUCUCCCUCUCUCUCUGCCCCUCCCCCACUAAAAUAAAUAAAUAAACUUAAAAAAAGAAAUCUUAAAA
rnacentral:lncRNA from 1 species